rnacentral:tRNA from 1 species
AAGAGUAUUGUAUAAUGGUAUUACCCUGACCUCCAAAGUCAGUUACGUUGGUUCGAUUCCGACUACUCUUG